UACGACUAGACUAGAGAGAGAGGAAGAUGGGAAAACAUUUUCAAGGAUCUGUCAUCAUUCAUAGCAACAUUUGAGGUUAUACUGAGAUGGAAAACUGGUGUCCAUGGUGUCCGCCUGCCGGUGGGACAGACCUCCGAGGAAAAACAAAGGCCUGACAGGAUCUUGAAGGAACAGGAGGGCUUGAGGUGAAGGCGGGGGGGUAUGAGUUUGAGCUGGCACUGCCAGAUGACUACGUGCCCCCCUCCUUAUUCCCUUGUUGCUCAAACUGGAGUGCGCAACUUGUACUUCAGUUUUGACAAACUGGGAGAAGCUGCCGUUUCUGCCCGGGAUCUGACCCGACAUCAUAAUGCAUCAGCGAGAAGUGGUGUUAACUGGCUCAGGUCAGACAAAAGUAGAGGAACAGUGAUCUAAUAAUUCCGAUUGUUGAGCAGCAGCCAGAGAUGCAGACGCUUUCCCAGGAUGAUUUACAAUGGCGGGAAGAAGAUAAAAGAAGACAGCGAGAACAACGGGUGAUGAACCUGUUCGCAAGCUCAACUCUUUGUCAGUAAGCCUUAGAAUUACCAAAUAUCAAUCCCACGCCUCCAUCCUCAUCAUCCUUUAUUAGGCCUUGAAGUCAGCUUCACUCUACCUCUUGUUUUACUCCUGCAGUGAUUAAAAGGUUGAGAACUGGAGUCCAGGUUUCACAGUUGGUCACAAAGUUGACUUGGUCCUAAGUCCAGGGGCCUGAGCUGACAGCAGGAACUCCUAAUUUAAUAAUGCAGGCCUGUCUGUCACACUUUCUAACAGUUGCUGCUCUCUGCUGAGGGGUCGACUUUUUGACAUAAAUCACCUCGGCCCCUGAACACGGGCCCACGAUAACGUCACAGGACAGUAGGGCGCAAGCUGCAAGAAGCAGGGACUUGAUAAGGUCCUGCCAAGCCUUAGUGCUCUUGGAGGAAUCUGAGGACCUGUAAAGCUGAGACUUAAUUACAACACUGAUGAAGUGAUAAAGGUGGAUUAAAGUUGAAGUCUCAGACCACCA